CGGGCUUAAAAUCUUUUUUUGUCAAUGUUAAAAUUGCUAUCCCAUCUUUAUUCAGGUCGACAGUUGCAUGAUAUUUUUUUUCAUCCUUUUAUUUUUGACCUUUCUAUGUUUUUUUGCUUUAAAAUGUCAUUUGUUAGCAGCAUAUUACUGAAUCUUGUUUUAUUUUUUUAAUCCAGUCUGAGUGUCUGCCUUUUAAUUGUGAGCUUAACCUGUUUACAUUCAGUGUAAUUCCUAUUGUAUUAAGAGUUUUACUUGCCAGUGUCACAUAACGUGUAGAAUGUGAUCAUAUGAUCACAACCUCUGGGGUCCCUGCAAGAGUCCUAAUAUCUAGCAGCUCUACAAGGACAGGUCUCUUAAAACUAAUCCUACCAAGCAUAUCUAAAGGUAAAAAUAUAUAUAUAUAAAUAUAAAAGAGUUUUUAUAGUUCUCUCUUUGGAGUUUGGGACAUAAGGGAUCUACUUUAAUGAAAGUAAUUUUAUGGGCUAGAACUGCAUAUUUUAAAACAAAUUGGCCCUGAUAUGUACCAACAAAGGAUUAAAACGGUCCCAGGCUCUCUCCUUCCCAAUUUUGUGAUUUUAGGGGCCAUUCUCAGUAGGAAAAUCUACCUAAGCCUAUAAGAUAGAGAUGGGAAAACCAAAAAGGCUUCUUGUUCAGCAUCCAUGUAUUUGGAUACUCAUAGGUAGACAGUAAUAUUACCUAGUGCUUUCAGGCUUUAAUAUCAUGUGUCUAGUCUUCUCAUUCACAGGUUAAGGCUACCUUUCCAGAUAGUCCAACAGCUAAGUCACCAGUUUCCAAGGGCAUUUGCACCACCUAUGGAAAACAUCGGAUCCGUGCACACCAGAUGUCCUUGACAACUCAUCCCACCAUUCCCCUGCACAAAAUUUGCUGCACCAGCAGACUAUGAAAGUGACCGCUGAGCUUCUUUUUAUUACCAAGUAGCUAUAAUAUCCCUGACAUCAAAACAGAGGACACAAGUGUCUCUUCAUAGUCAUGACCAGUUGAGACCACGCUAAGAAAAUCAGCUUGCCUACAUGAGGACCCCUUCUCUUCUUGGGUAGCCAGGAUUUAAAGGAGAGACUCUGACCUGUGCCACUGGAUGCCUUUCCCCAGCUUUGCGGCUGAAUAAACCAACAGCUUUGUACAUGCUGAACAGAGUAUGGUCAUUUAUUCUCAACAAAUGAAAUAGAUCGUGCUUUGCUUAAGGAGGCCACUGGAGGAUGUGCUUCACCAAAACAAAGGAGUAAUCUAAGUAAGAAGGCAUGGGAUCCUGAAAACAUAAGCUCUCACAAAGGAAUGCAAUGAAGGAAAGUCCCGGGAUGACUACUGUGUCAAGUAAGUAGGAUGGGGGUUUCAGAAAGUAGGUCUCUAGAAAACUUAGGGAAGAUGUAGAAAAGAAUGAGACAGAUACUGGGAAAUUAGGGGACAAGAAUAAAAUAAUUACAUAGAAAACUAGGUUAAUGAUAAAAUAAGACAGAAGUACACCACAUACACAUUUUUGGAUGAAUGUCACUGUGUCACAAAAGUAAAUCUGAAAUUUUAUUUAAGUGUAAUUAUUACAGUUUUAGUAGUCAGAUAUAGUGGUCACAUUAAAAAUAUAGUACAGUUGUAUUGUCAGCAAAUUGACUGAUGAUUCGGCAUCAUACACCACAAUUGCAGUAGGUGCUCACCUUCAAUAAGAUGUGCAUUGCAGAAAAUUUUUUCAGAAAGUAAAUAUUAUUCAGUAAUUUGUUUUGUAAAAGAAACUAUGUCCCUUGCUUAGGCAAGUCUCAAAAUUUUUUAUUUAUAGAAAUGAUACAUAUUCUACAGCAGUAUUUUCAACAACCUUUCAUUUAAAUUUUACCUUUGUAGGCUCAAAAGCAUAACGAAUUAUCGACUUCUUUAAAAAUAAUAUUUUGAAAUUCCAUAGUUUUACAUCUUCCAUACUAUUUUUGCUAUCAAGAUAGUUAUAUCCAGUGACAAAUCCAUAAUAUAUUACUACAUAACACUUUAGAUUUUUUUCCUAUGAGUUAUGGUUGAGGUUUUUUCCUAUACUUUGUUUAUAUUACUAUUACAUAUUCUCAGAAUAAAUUUGACUUAAUUGCAAA